AUACCAAAGACUAAUGCACCGGAUCCCAUCGGAACUCCGCAGUUAAGCGUGUUUGGGCGAGAGUAGUACUAGGAUGGGUGACUCGAAGUCCUCGUGUUGCAC
rnacentral:rRNA from 1 species